rnacentral:RNase_P_RNA from 1 species
UAUGACGGGCAGUCGCUGCCGCGCGGGCACAGGCCGGGCGGUAGAGGAAAGUCGAGACACGCACACCGGGUGUCCAAAGGACAUUUGGUGUAGUACGGUGCCCGGCGCAAGCCGGGGCAGGGCGACCUGACGACGGCCAAAGAAACCCACCGGGUUUUAAGUAGCUGUAAAGUGCCACAGAAACCAGGUCACCGGGCAACCGGUGAGUGCAAGGGUAAACUCCACCAGCGUGCAACCCAAAUAGGCAGCCUUUGAGCUGCGGGUAGGGGCACCCCCGCAAGGGGGAGGUGAGCAGCAAUGCUCGCCUAGAUAGAUGACUGUCUAGACAGAAUCUCGCUUAUAGUC